rfam:Schistosoma haematobium scaffold323_21, whole genome shotgun sequence.
AUCCAGCUGACGAGUCACAAACAGGACGAAACGCGCGUUCUGGAU